UCCCUGGUGGUCCGGUGGCUAGGACUCCACACUCUUAAUGCAGAGGGCCUGGGUUCAAACCUCCGUCAGGGAA
rnacentral:tRNA from 1 species